AGGACUAUACUUUCAGGGGUCAUUUUUGUAGUUGGUCACUAGAGGAGAGUGAUUGCACCUGCACGGUGUCACAAGCCACGAGGAGGAGCGGGGUGUUCUCUCCUGAGCACGAAGCGGACGGGCAGUGCUGCCUGGGCAGGAGCCACCCGUAGCCACCCGCCAUUGAUGACCGUUCCUGCCCCUCCAGGGGCUGGGAGACAGAGAGCAUGGGCUGAGUGGU
rnacentral:snoRNA from 1 species